ACUGGGCAAGGCUUUUAUCCAAUGACAAUGCACUUUAGUGAAAACUAAGCCACCCAAGUGCAAGUUUCCUCAAGGUUUCUUUCAUCCUAAUGUCUAUCCAUCAGGAAAAGUACGUCUGCAGUCUAUCCUUAAUCAGGACCAUGGGUGGAGUCCUGUCAUUACAGUGAAACAAAUUCUAAUGGGUAUUCAUUAUUUGCUUGAUUGGCCGAGCCCUAAUUAUCUAGCACAAAUAGAAGGUUAUAAUAUAUACAUACAGGAUAAUGUUGAGUAUAAGAGACGAGUGAGACAGCAGGCUGAGCAGUAUCCAACUCUUUUCUGACAUUACUUUGUUAUAAAUUAAGAAUAAUCAUGUGACAUUUUUAGUCCUCAUUGACAUGGUGGUCGUGUGUCUAAUUUGGUUCUAAUCUUCUUUAUAAUUGAACAAAUAAUAUAGUAUGUGUGCAACAUGCCUGCUAUUCAUAUAUGUUAUUUUGACAAUGUGGUUGGUUUGUU